rnacentral:rRNA from 1 species
CCCUUCGGGGCUCUCUGGUGAUUCAUAAUAACUUCUCGAAUCGCACGGCCUUGCGCCGGCGAUGGUUCAUUCAAAUUUCUGCCCUAUCAACUUUCGACGGCUGGGUAUUGGCCAGCCGUGGUGACAACGGGUAACGGAGGGUUAGGGCUCGACCCCGGAGAAGGAGCCUGAGAAACGGCUACUACAUCCAAGGAAGGCAGCAGGCGCGCAAAUUACCCAAUCCCGACACGGGGAGGUAGUGACAAUAAAUACUGAUACAGGGCUCUUUCGGGUCUUGUAAUUGGAAUGAGUACAAUCUAAAUCCCUUAACGAGGAACAAUUGGAGGGCAAGUCUGGUGCCAGCAGCCGCGGUAAUUCCAGCUCCAAUAGCGUAUAUUAAAGUUGUUGAGGUUAAAAAGCUCGUAGUUGAACCUUGGGCCUAGCCGGCCGGUCCGCCUCACCGCGUGCACUGGCUCGGCUGGGUCUUUCCUUCUGGAGAACCGCAUGCCCUUUACUGGGUGUGUCGGGGAACCAGGACUUUUACCGUGAAAAAAUUAGAUCGCUUAAAGAAGGCCUAUGCUCGAAUACAUUAGCAUGGAAUAAUAGAAUAGGACGUGUGGUUCUAUUUUGUUGGUUUCUAGGACCGCCGUAAUGAUUAAUAGGGACAGUCGGGGGCAUCAGUAUUCAAUUGUCAGAGGUGAAAUUCUUGGAUUUAUUGAAGACUAACUACUGCG